UUUAGGUGUCGUAACCAAAUAUCUUGUAGAAAUUAAGAAACACACAGAUGCACCAAAAUGCUCUCUUCAAUCACUUCUAUUUUUUUUUUUGUCAGCUGUCGAAUUGGUUAGACAAAGUUCUGAUCAGACGAGAUAUUUCUCCGAAAAAACACUUCUAUUAGAAAUAUUAUUUAGUGAAUUCAAAUAUUAACUCAUACUAAAUCAACUAUAAAUAUAAUUAGA
rnacentral:lncRNA from 1 species